rnacentral:lncRNA from 1 species
GUGGCAGACAGCCAGGCCCGUUGAUUCAUUUUCAGAGCAAAUUAGCCGGAGACUUUUUAAUGUAAUUAGCUAGCAAUUUAUUACUGUUAGUAAACUAUCAAGACGAGCAGUACAGCAAAUGUAAAUUCCUGAAAGAAGAGUGUGAUGCAACGCUACUCUCUACGUCCACGGCCCAUCUGCUCAUCCACUCCGCGUAGCAGAAAGGACAGCAGAGUUGAAAGACGGUGGGACUGAGGGUUAGAACUCUACUUGCGGCUGAGCCUUCGGCGGGAGGAAAUCUGAGGACUCGCCACCCAUUCGGAUGCUGGCUUUCCAGAAGAGGUAGAAUGGCCUCUGGCAGAUGGCUGAAGCCAUCUGUGUGUGCCUCGCGCCAAAAGUAAACAUCGCCUUUACUGAAAGAGAAAAGAAGAAUCUAAACUGUAGAGAGAAGCUACUCUGGUUUCUUAGAGUCACACAGUCAAUAAAGGAGGGACCAGGCAUUCCACCAGGAACACGACCCUCAAAACCCAGCUCCGAAUCAGUUAUCAUGUCUCUAAAAAAUAAGAUCACAUGUUUAUUAUGCAUGCUACUCUCAAAUAAUUCCCACUGUAGCAAACAGGAGAAGAACCUACAGGGGAAAAUAGCCCUCCUGACUCAACACCUUCAUUGAGACAGCUUUCUUCUCCCUCAGAAUGACAUUUGGCUUACUCCUCCUCUUGCAGAAUUACAAGGUGCUGUGUUCAUGGUUUUCAAGGAAAAAAAGAGUCCAAAGUUCAAGAAGUGAUAAUGGGGAACUGUCAUUUUCAUGCUCUGAAUGAUCACAGCAUGAUGGGACCAGGGGUCAACCCUAAUCCAAGCUUUUAUAAAGAUGACCAGAGAAUAACAGACACUCGCCUUCCUUAGAUGCUGCAUUUCUAAUCUGAAAACAGACCUUAAGCUGUCUCUCAGCACUGUUCUGAAGAUGAAGUCAAAUACCGCAUGCACAGUGCCUGGAACUUUCCGGGUGUGUUCUAAAUGUUACUUUACUGGUCUUGGCUUUGUUUCCCUCAAAAAAUCAAAUAAAAAUAAAACCCCCUUGGGAACAACACAAUCUAAAAGCCUAAGCUCUUGUGCCCUAUUGGCAUCUCAUGUAGAAUGAGUGCCUUUGGGAACGCCUGAAGCACAUGUGGCCUUGGACACCCCAGCCAUAUACAGAUUCCCUCUCAGUCUGCUGAACAUGAUGCCCCCCAGGACCAGGCCUAAUGCCUUCGUGCAUGAUUUAAUAUAUUAGACAAGAAGCUCCAUACGCAGUAGACAAUAAUUGUACGCACUUUUAAGUAUAUUGUGGAUAUAGCUCUGUGCAUAUUAAAUAAUGAUAAUUAUUUCCUUUUUUCACUCUGUUUAAAUAAAUAGUCCCUACUUAGACCACGUGCAGCAGGAAAAACAGGCAAUUAUUUCAGCAUUAUCGGGACACAUCAGUCGCUGAAGAAUAAAUACAUAUUUAUCUUUGAAAAAUUACGUAGCAGGUUAGAGAAAAAUGUCAUUUUAACAGCUUGUAUGAGCUCCCCAAGGAACUCUGUUUAGGA